AUUGAACGCUGGCGGCAUGCCUUACACAUGCAAGUCGAACGGCAGCGCGGACUUCGGUCUGGCGGCGAGUGGCGAACGGGUGAGUAAUACAUCGGAACGUACCCUGUUGUGGGGGAUAACUAGUCGAAAGAUUAGCUAAUACCGCAUACGACCUGAGGGUGAAAGUGGGGGACCGCAAGGCCUCACGCAGCAGGAGCGGCCGAUGUCUGAUUAGCUAGUUGGUGGGGUAAAGGCCCACCAAGGCGACGAUCAGUAGCUAGUCUGAGAGGACGAUCAGCCACACUGGGACUGAGACACGGCCCAGACUCCUACGGGAGGCAGCAGUGGGGAAUUUUGGACAAUGGGGGCAACCCUGAUCCAGCAAUGCCGCGUGUGUGAAGAAGGCCUUCGGGUUGUAAAGCACUUUUGUCCGGAAAGAAAUCGCGCUGGUUAAUACCUGGCGUGGAUGACGGUACCGGAAGAAUAAGCACCGGCUAACUACGU
rnacentral:rRNA from 1 species